UACAGGGGGUGCAAACGUUGUUCGGAUUUACUGGGCGUAAAGGGCGCGUAGGCGGUCAGCACAAGUCAGUUGUGAAAUCUCCGGGCUUAACUCGGAAAGGUCAACUGAUACUGUGCGACUAGAGUGCGGAAGGGGCAACUGGAAUUCUCGGUGUAGCGGUGAAAUGCGUAGAUAUCGAGAGGAACACCUGCGGCGAAGGCGGGUUGCUGGGCCGACACUGACGCUGAUGCGCGAAAGCCAGGGGAGCGAACGGG
rnacentral:rRNA from 1 species